rnacentral:rRNA from 1 species
GAAGUGCGAAUGCUGACAUGAGUAACGAUAAAGGGGGUGAAAAACCUCCUCGCCGGAAGACCAAGGGUUCCUGUCCAACGUUAAUCGGGGCAGGGUAAGUCGACCCCUAAGGCGAGGCCGAAAGGCGUAGUCGAUGGGAAACGGGUUAAUAUUCCCGUACUUCUUAUAAUUGCGAUGGGGGGACGGAGAAGGCUAGGUGGGCCUGGCGACGGUUGUCCAGGUUCAAGUACGUAGGCGGGUGGUUUAGGUAAAUCCGGACCGCUAUCUAACGCUGAGAUACGAUGUCGAGCUACUACGGUAGUGAAGUCAUUGAUGCCAUGCUUCCAGGAAAAGCCUCUAAGCUUCAGAUUAUAAGAAAUCGUACCCCAAACCGACACAGGUGGUCGGGUAGAGAAUACCAAGGCGCUUGAGAGAACUCGGGUGAAGGAACUAGGCAAAAUGGUACCGUAACUUCGGGAGAAGGUACGCUCUCGACGGUGAAGUCCCUCGCGGAUGGAGCUAUUGGGAGUCGCAGAUACCAGGUGGCUGCAACUGUUUAUUAAAAACACAGCACUGUGCAAAAUCGUAAGAUGACGUAUACGGUGUGACGCCUGCCCGGUGCCGGAAGGUUAAUUGAUGGGGUUAGACUUCGGUCGAAGCUCUUGAUCGAAGCCCCGGUAAACGGCGGCCGUAACUAUAACGGUCCUAAGGUAGCGAAAUUCCUUGUCGGGUAAGUUCCGACCUGCACGAAUGGCGUAAUGAUGGCCACGCUGUCUCCACCCGAGACUCAGUGAAAUUGAAAUCGCUGUGAAGAUGCAGUGUACCCGCGGCUAGACGGAAAGACCCCGUGAACCUUUACUACAGCUUGGCACUGAACAUUGACCCUACAUGUGUAGGAUAGGUGGGAGCCUUUGAAGCAAGUACGCCAGUAUUUGUGGAGGCAAUCUUGAAAUACCACCCUUGUAUGCUUGAUGUUCUAACGUUGGCCCCUUAUCGGGGUUACGGACAGUGCCUGGUGGGUAGUUUGACUGGGGCGGUCUCCUCCCAAAGAGUAACGGAGGAGCACGAAGGUGGGCUAAACACGGUUGGACAUCGUGUGGUUAGUGCAAUGGCAUAAGCCCGCUUAACUGCGAGAAUGACGGUUCGAGCAGGUACGAAAGUAGGUCAUAGUGAUCCGGUGGUUCUGUAUGGAAGGGCCAUCGCUCAACGGAUAAAAGGUACUCCGGGGAUAACAGGCUGAUACCGCCCAAGAGUUCAUAUCGACGGCGGUGUUUGGCACCUCGAUGUCGGCUCAUCACAUCCUGGGGCUGAAGUCGGUCCCAAGGGUAUGGCUGUUCGCCAUUUAAAGUGGUACGCGAGCUGGGUUUAGAACGUCGUGAGACAGUUCGGUCCCUAUCUGCCGUGGGCGUUGGAAAAUUGAAAGGGGCUGCUCCUAGUACGAGAGGACCGGAGUGGACGAACCUCUGGUGUUCGGGUUGUCACGCCAGUGGCAUUGCCCGGUAGCUAAGUUCGGAAUCGAUAAGCGCUGAAAGCAUCUAAGCGCGAAGCGAGCCUUGAGAUGAGUUUUCCCUGGCACUUUAAGUGCCCUAAAGGGUUGUUCGAGACUAGAACGUUGAUAGGCAGGGUGUGUAAGCGCUGUGAGGCGUUGAGCUAACCUGUACUAAUUGCCCGUGAGGCUUAACCAUACAACACCCAAGGGGUUUUGUA